AGCUUUGCGCAGUGGCAGUAUCUAGCCGAUGAGGUUUAUCUGAGGCGCGAUUAUUGCUAGCUGAAAAAUUCUCCCACUUAACC
rnacentral:snRNA from 1 species